CUCUAUCUAGAGACAUGGUGUUCCUUUUC
rnacentral:piRNA from 1 species